rnacentral:lncRNA from 1 species
AUGGGGAGGACUCCCACUGCUGUGCAAGUUAAGUCUUUUACAAAACAAGGACAGCAGAGGAGGGUUUGCAGAGACCUCCCUCUGAAAAACACAAAGAAUGGACUCUCUCCUGGGAUGAGGACUUGCUUUCUUUACCUCCGGUUCUUUCCAUGUCUUAGUUGGAUGUCCCUGAAAUGGACACAGGCUGUGCCAUUGUGCCAGAAACAUUGUGUUAUCUUUUAUGUUGUUGUUGUUGCUGUUAAACUAUAAUAUG